rnacentral:lncRNA from 1 species
UUGAAUUUGUAAGGUCUACAGUAUAUGGACUGGUACAUAGUGUUUGUAUUGGUGAGGUCUACAGUAUAUGGACUGGUACAUGGUGUGUGUAUUGGUAAGGUCUACAGUAUAUCGACUGGUAAUGAUGUUUGUAUUGGUACGGUCUACAGCAUAUGGACUGGUACAUGGUGAGUAUAUUGGUAAGGUCUACAGUAUAUGGACUGGUAUAUGGUGUGUAUAUUGGUUAGGUCUACAGUAUAUGGACUGGUACAUGGUGUUUGUAUUGGUAAGGUCUACAGUAUAUGGACUGGUACAUGGUGUAUGUGUUGGUAAGGUCUACAGUAUAUGGACUGGUACAUGGUGUUUGUAUUGGUGAGGUCUACAGUAUAUGGACUGGUACAUGGUGUGUAUAUUGCUAAGGUCUACAGUAUAUGGACUGGUCCAUGGUGUUUCUAUUGGUAAGGUCUACAGUAUAUGGACUGGUACAUGGUGUAUGUAUUGGUAAGGCCUACAGUAUAUGGACUGGUAAUGAUGUUUGUAUUGGUACGGUCUACAGCAUAUGGACUGGUACAUGAUGUGUAUAUUGGUAAGGUCUACAGUAUAUGGACUGGUACAUGGUGUAUGUAUUGGUAAGGCCUACAGUAUAUGGACUGGUACAUGGUGUGUAUAUUGGUUAUGUCUACAGCGUAUGGACUGGUACAUCGUUUGUAUAUUGGUAAGGCCUACAGUAUAUGGACUGGUACAUGGUGUGUAUAUUGGCAAGGUCUACAGUAUAUGGACUGGUACAUGGUGUGUAUAUUGGUUAUGUCUACAGUAUAUGGACUGGUUCAUGGUGUUUGUAUUGGUAAGGCCUACUGUAGAUGGACUGGUACAUGGUGAUUGUAUUGGUAAUGUCUACAGAAUAUGGACUGGAACAUGGUGUUUGUAUUGGUAAGGUCUACAGUAUAUGGACUGGUCCAUGGUGUUUGAAUUGGUAAAUUCUACAGUAUAUGGACUUUUAAAUGGUGUGUAUAUUGGUAAGAUCUACAUUAUAUGGACUGGUACUUGGUGUUUCUAUUGGUAAGGUCUACAGUAUAUGGACUGGUCCAUGGUGUUUCUAUUGGUAAGGUCUACAGUAUAUGGACAGGUACAUGGUGUGUAUAUUGGUAAGGUCUACAGUAUAUGGACUGGUACAUGGUGUGUAUAUUGGUAAGGUCUACAGUAUAUGGACUGGUACAUGGUGUGUAUAUUGGUAAGGUCUACAGUAUAUGGACUGGUACAUGGUGUGUAUAUUGGUAAGGUCUACAGUAUAUGGACUGUUACACAGUGUUUGAAUUUGUAAGGUCUACAAUAUAUGGACUGGUACAUAGUGUUUGUAUUGGUGAGGUCUACAGUAUAUGGACUGGUACAUGGUGUGUGUAUUGGUAAGGUCUACAGUAUAUGGACUGGUAAUGAUGUUUGUAUUGGUACGGUCUACAGCAUAUGGACUGGUACAUGGUGAGUAUAUUGGUAAGGUCUACAGUAUAUGGACUGGUAUAUGGUGUGUAUAUUGGUUAGGUCUACAGUAUAUGGACUGGUACAUGGUGUUUGUAUUGGUAAGGUCUACAGUAUAUGGACUGGUACAUGGUG